rnacentral:tRNA from 4 species
AUUCUUUUAGUAUAAAAAGUAUAUUUGACUUCCAAUCAAAAGGUCUUAAAUAAGAAAGAAUA